GGUCAGUGAUGAGCAGUAAAAGGUCUGAUUACCCACAAUCCCCUCCUGCUGCCUCUGGCUCCCAGCAGCCCUGCUUUCUGCUCCCAUCAUGCUCCAGUGAUGCAGCAGUGGUGCCGGCAGCUGCUGACACACAGGAUGUGACAUCACGCCAGGGCCUGUACAGAGCUCCUACAGCCUCUCUGUGAUGAUGUCAUCCAACAGAAUCUAUCAGCAUGGAGCGUCGGGCUGAGGAGGAGGAGCAGGGAGCUGAUCUCAAGUUUUCAAGCUGAGACC
ensembl:scaRNA Small Cajal body specific RNA 6